AUUGAACGCUGGCGGCAGGCCUAACACAUGCAAGUCGAGCGAGUGGCGGACGGGUGAGUAAUGUCUGGGAAACUGCCUGAUGGAGGGGGAUAACUACUGGAAACGGUAGCUAAUACCGCAUACCAUCGGAUGUGCCAAGAUGGGAGUGGCUAGUAGGUGGGGUAAAGGCUCACCUAGGAGACGAUCCCUAGAUGGUCUGAGAGGAUGACCGUCCACACUGGAACUGAGACACGUGCCAGACGCCGACGGGAGGCAGCAGUGUGGAAGAUUGCACAAUGGGCGCAAGCCUGAUGCAGCCAUGCCGCGUGUGUGAAGAAGGCCUUCGGGUUGUAAAGCACUUUCAGCGAGGAGGCGUUACUCGCAGAAGAAGCACCGGCUAACUCCGUGCCAGCAGCCGCGGUAAUAC
rnacentral:rRNA from 1 species